GCGGGAAUAGCUCAGUUGAUAGAGCAUUAGCCUUCCAAGCUGAGGGUCGCGGGUUUGAGUCCCGUUUCCCGCUC
rnacentral:tRNA from 3 species